CUACGGGUGGCACCAGGUAGGGAUCUUUUGCAAUGCACGCAAGUGUGACAAAGCGAACCAGAGUGUUUCUCAUCUCGAGAAACUUUUGUUAGCUGUAAAAAAGCUGACGAAUAAGGACUGGGCAAGACCGGUGCCAGCCGCCGCGGUAAUCCCGGCGGUCCGAGUCGCAGCCACAUUUAUUGGGUCUAAAACAUCCGUAGCUUGCUAUGUAAGUCUUUUGUGAAAUUUUGUCUCUUAAGGGCAAAGCGUGCAAGAGAUACUGCAUGGCUAGAGACUGGGGGAUGUGAAGAGUACAAUCAAGGUAGUGGUAAAAUACGUUGAUCUCGAUUGGACUAACAACAGCGAAGGCACUUCACAACAACAGUUCUGACAGUGAGGGAUGAAGGCUAGGGGCGCAAAACGGAUUAGAUACCCCGGUAGUC
rnacentral:rRNA from 1 species